UACGUAGGGUGCAAGCGUUGUCCGGGAUUAUUGGGCGUAAAGAGCUCGUAGGCGGUUUGUCGCGUCUGCUGUGAAAACUCGGGGCUUAACUCCGGGCCUGCAGUGGGUACGGGCAGACUAGAGUGCGGUAGGGGAGACUGGAAUUCCUGGUGUAGCGGUGAAAUGCGCAGAUAAUCAGGAGGAACACCGAUGGCGAAGGCAGGUCUCUGGGCCGAUACUGACGCUGAGGAGCGAAAGCGUGGGGAGCGAACAGG
rnacentral:rRNA from 1 species